UUCAAUUCUUUUUUUAUUACUUGUGUUUAUGCUAUACCAAACGCAGCCUAAGUCCAACUGAGCCUAGGGUUCACUAUUUGUAUUCGCAAAAGCCCACAAUAGUCCAGAUUGUUCCAUUUCUCUCAUAUUGGCCGCAGCCUCCAGGGGACGACUAGGGUUUUGAAAGGAAAGCGAACGAAGAACCUCGCAACUUUAUCACCAUGAGAGCUAAGUGGAAGAAGAAGAGAAUGAGGAGGCUGAAGAGAAAGCGCCGAAAGAUGAGGCAGAGAUCCAAGUAAUUUUCAGAGAAAAUAAAUCGUCCAUCAGACGGUCUUAGUUAAAUCUCAGGCUUUCUUGCUAUCUGUUGGUACAUUUUCUUAGUUUGAACAUCUUAUUUUGCUUGGAAAUGUGAUUUUUUUUUCUUCCGUAUCUGUAGUUCUUGUUAACUUUGGUAAUUGCAAUGCGAGCUUUGAUGAAUAUGUCAAUCUAUUGUGAUCUUGCCGCUA